GGCUCUGUGGCUUAAUGGUUGCAGUUUUUGUCUCACAAGCAGAAGGUUCAGGGAUCAAAUCCCCGUCGGUGCCA
rnacentral:tRNA from 1 species